rnacentral:lncRNA from 1 species
GUAAGGUCUGGGAACACAUAGUCCACAGCAGUAUUAUGGACCAUUUUGACAAAUACAACAUACUUACCAAACGCACAGCAUGGAUUUCGCAAAAAACGAUCAUGCGAAUCGCAACUUAUAAUAACAAUCAACGACAUUGCUAAAAAAACUCGAAAAAGGAUCCCAAGUCGACAUCAUCCUUCUUGACUUUGCAAAGACAUUCGACAAAG